rnacentral:rRNA from 1 species
UACGUAUGGAGCAAGCGUUAACCGGAUUUACUGGGUGUAAAGGGAGCGUAGACGGUGAGGCAAGUCUGUUGUGAAAGGUGUGGGCUCAACCCGCAAACUGCAUUGGAAACUGUCCCGCUUGAGUGUCGGAGAGGUAAGUGGAAUUCCUAGUGUAGCGGUGAAAUGCGUAGAUAUUAGGAGGAACACCAGCGGCGAAGGCGGCUUACUGGACGAUAACUGACGUUGAGGCUCGAAAGCGUGGGGAGCAAAC